rnacentral:rRNA from 1 species
GUCCACGCCCUAAACGAUGUCGACUGGUUGUUGGGAGAGGCAACUUUCUUAGUAACGAAGCUAACGCGUGAAGUCUACCGCCUGGGGAGUACGGCCGCAAGGUUAAAACUCAAAGGAAUUGACGGGGACCCGCACAAGCGGUGGAUGAUGUGGAUCAAUUCGAUGCAACGCGAAAAACCUUACCUACCCUUGACAUGUGCGGAAGCCUGGUGAGAGCUGGGUGUGCCCGAAAAGGGAGCCGCAACACAGGUGCUGCAUGGCUGUCGU